GGGGGCAUAGCUCAGUUGGGAGAGCAGUAGACUGAAGCUUCGAGCGUAUUCUAAAGGUCCCGCGUUCAAUCCGCGGUGCCCCCA
rfam:Coprinopsis cinerea okayama7#130 chromosome 3 cont3.3, whole genome shotgun sequence.